GUUUUAAUAAUUUAAAUAAAAUAUUGGUCUUGUAAACCAAAAAUAAGGUAUACCUUUUAAAACU
rnacentral:tRNA from 1 species